rnacentral:lncRNA from 1 species
CGGGAUUUCAGAUAUUUUAGCACGACUUUGUGAAAUGCCUUUGGCGGUGGAUAAAAAUCUUGUUUAAAUUUAUUGUCUUCAGCACCUUGAAAAAUCGUUAUCAUUGCUACUUGAUGCUACUGUAAUUGAGGCUCUUACUUCAUAUAUUGUACAGGACAGCUUCGUUCCUCUAUGAAUUACCAAAGUUUGAUCAAGAUUAAAAUGUGUGGGUUUUUAGGAGAACGAAACAACCUACACAGUUAUAAUCAACAUUAUCGAUUCCUUACCUUGUUUACAUUUCCUCGCGGACAGGUUCCAGUUGUAUAAAUGUUUUUCAUCAAGAAACGAAUGGGUCGAGCUUAGAUCUAAAAUAUCAAAGAAAAUGUGCUACCACAAGAUUUCCACUCAAAAUAACGAAAAUAAAAACGUUUUUGUACCCAGAAAACAAGAUUCAUGCAACUAAUUCAUCAUGAAGUAUCACGUGCGGUUUUGAAGUGUUAAAGUUUAUUUCAUUCCUGAUGAAUGUUUUUUGCGCUUUCAAAAAUUAAUGAUUUUAUAGUCCAGCAAAGGGCAUGUAUUUGCCGAUAAAAGCUAAAAGUAAAGAGACAUGGUUUAGAUAACGAGUAAUAAAUACAUUUCACGAUGAAAAAGUUCUCAUUCGUGGGUGGUUUUGAGUGACUUUUGUCUGCUUGAAACGUAAACAGGGUAAGAGGUCUAUUGUGCAUGGAAUGGUCCUCUUACACAAUAUAAAAAAUUAUGGCGUUAUUAAGUCUUAUAACAUUCUCAAAGCAACACUGAAAAAGAACUGUCUUCCUUCAUAUAUUAAAUAAAAUAACAUUCUUGCCACAUUAGAAGACAAUGACUGUAAGUUAGAAAGAAUUAUGUUACACAGUUGUUCAUAUAGUACAUUUGGGUAGUUAGUAAAAUAAAGUAAAUAAAUGAAACAAAAGGAUGAAGAAAAGAGCCCCAAUUUUGACAAUGAGGUUUUUCUAAUUAUCAAUACAUCAUGGAAAAGUUAAAAACAUGCAAUUUAGUCGAAUCCAAUAAGCCAGUUCGACAUUUUGAUUGUGUAUCCAAAUGACGUGUUCUGAGUUGGGAAUAAAUGAACACAUAAAAUCUAGCUGAGACUAGACUUUUCUUUUCUUUUUUAAUAUUCAAUGACUAAUAUUCUACAUAAAAGAAACAAUGAAACUGUAUAUUUAAUUCAUUUCCUAUAAUAAACUUUAUUGACUGUUUUUCUGUCUAAAGCCAAAAAAUGAAAGUGUUCUUUCGGGAAUAUUUUUGUAACAGUGAAGCAAGUCAAUCGUCUAAAAACUUUUUCUUUUUCUAAAAAAAAUAUUUCCGUAAUUAAAACAUCAAAACUUAAUCUGGAACUGUUUGUGUCACUGAAGGUAGCGACGAUAACAAGACAACUGUGGAUUGAGGGGGAUAUAACUACCUGAAAAAUACAAGCAGAACUUCGAUGUUAUAUCCUUUUGUAUCCUUCUCAAUCCACAGCUUCUCAUUAAAGCUUAAGCCUGUUUUUCACUUCACCAUAUCGUAACGUACUGUAGAGCAUUUUCUUUUCUGUUGAACUUAUUAGUUACUCAGAAUAACAAAAAUAUACAGCUACGCUUUAGUACGAUAUACGGUUAAAGUGAAAAACAUAAUUUAGUUUUAAAAUAUUUACCCGACUCAGUUGGAUGCGCAGUAUUGUUAUGCCAAACUGGCUUAUUGGAAUUUAGUAAAAAAUAUUGUAAUUGUUGCUUUGCCAGUUUGGGCAAAGCUUCAACGCGAAGUUUGAAGAAGCUUUCAAUACUGGGAUAAACAUAUGGACUUAAAAACAUUGUGCUAUAAAACCACAAGAAAUAUUAUGACCGUCUCGAAAUUAGACUGUGAGUGAUUUACUUGGACAAAAGCUGCAAUGUUGUCAUCGUUGAAAGUUAGUAUACGUUGGCUUUUACGAGCCGUUGCUGUAUAUAUUACUAUUUCAUCAUUUGUGAGAUUAAUACGCGGUAUAUGUGUAUUGGUGAUUCAUGCAGCUGGAUUUGAAAAUUUCUGAUCAUAAUCAUGCAACUGAUAUACUGGAAUAAUAAUGGUAAUGGUAUCUUCCAUAAGCUUGUUGUAGUUUGUUUGUGUGGAAGUAAUAGUGAACAAUGAAUAUGGUUACUUGAAUACGUCGUACUGUACUGUAAAGUCAAAAAGAAAUUGAUGAGCAGGUCGAAAGAUCGUGAGCACGAUUCGUGAGUCGUUUAGAUAAAAGCGUGUAGUGUUGACAUCAUUGAAAAUCUACGCCUUUACGAAAAGUUCCUGUAUCGUGUCAUUAUACAACGGAUAUGGUAAUGACGUGCGUGAUAUAUAUUUGUUGAAUGAUAUGCAAAAUAAUGGAUUUUAAAGCUUGUGAUGACAAUGUGAAUUAUAUACGUGAAUAAUGGAGUUGAUCUUCUGUGAAAAAUGAUUAUUUAUGAAAGCCAAACAAUACACAAGAUUACUUAAAAACAUUGUGCUGUAAAGCCACAAGAAAUACCUGCGCUAAGACACUAUCGUCUCGAAAGAUCCUGUUGUCAUUGUUGAAAUUAUUCGCGUUUUACGAAUCGUUCCUGUAUCCGUCGGUUGCAUCUACCACCUUUGAUGCGUUCAUGUAGAUACAUUGGUACGUGUAGCAUAAUGCGUGACAUAUAUUUGUUGAAGAUUCGAUUGGAUAAUUAACGUCAACAACGUGCAUGACAUGCGUGCGAGGAAUGGUAAUGUUUACUUUCCACAAGCUAUGGUAUACUUGGUAUGAUUUUUGAACAUUGCGGUGCAUCAUUUGUUGAACAUUUGAACACAAACAAUAAACAAUAUGUUAAGUAUGAAAGUAAAGUCAUUCAUAUCGAAGAAUAAAAACGAAAGUGGUGUUGUUGAAUGAAAGGAGCAGUAAUGAGCGGUCGGUUCCGAAAUUAUGGUAAAAGACGUUAAGACUUUGAAACAGAUUUCGCGCUUGAGAACAUCCAGAGGCGUGGAACCUAGGAACGGUUUGAACUAUAUUAUUUGACUUGGUCUCACUUAGGAUCGCAAGACUACGGAUUUGGUGUUCCUGUAUGUAAGCCAGUGAACUGUUACAUUAUGUUGACAUUUACAGAUAUUAAUGCUUACGAGUAUAAGCAUUUCAUAAUUCUUGGCAGGAGUAAAUAUUUGGGAAGAACGUUUUCUCGAAGUAUAACGCUCACAAGUCAUGGUGUGGUUAAAUUUAGGAACACGUACACAACCUGUAGACUAUAUCGAACUAUGUAUACUGCGUAUUUCAUACAAUUUAGAAAACAAAGAAGAACAACGAAGACUGAACAAUAAUGACCUUUAGAUACUUAGAAUUAGUUCUAGCAUAAUAUUGCUUGUAGAUUAGAAUAAUUAUCGGUUGUGAAUAUUUUUCAAGAAUGG